UACAGAGGGUGCAAGCGUUAAUCGGAAUUACUGGGCGUAAAGGGUGCGUAGGUGGUUUGAUAAGUUGGGUGUGAAAUUCCUGGGCUUAACCUGGGGACUGCGCUCAAUACUGUCAAGCUAGAGUACUGUAGAGGAAGGUGGAAUUUCCAGUGUAGCGGUGAAAUGCGUAGAUAUUGGAAGGAACAUCAGUGGCGAAGGCGACUUUCUGGACAGAUACUGACACUGAGGCACGAAAGCGUGGGGAGCAAAC
rnacentral:rRNA from 1 species